rnacentral:lncRNA from 1 species
UUAAUAUUUAUUUUUUAGUUUUCGGCGGACACACAUCUUUGUUUGUAUGUGGUGCUGAGGAUCGAAGCCGGGCCGCACGCAUGCCAGGCGAGUGUGCUACCGCUUGAGCCACAUCCCCAGCCCUGAAAACAGAAUUUGUUUGCCUGUACUGAAGGGACAGCAGGAACGGUCAGCAGAGGACACAGGUGGAACCAAGUCUGCAGCUCUGCCUCUUCUCACCAGCCCCCACUCCACCCUCAGUAGGUCUCUAAAAAUGCUGGCAGCACGACCAUGAGACACAAUGCCUUGGUAUUAUCCACCCCCCACCAGUACAGAAAAAGCUAAGUCCCAUCUUUGUCAGGUUUUUACUCUGGGACAGGUGGAGGUAAGCUUCACUAGAGUCACUGUCCAUGUCCUUUCUUUCAGACCCUGGGAAAACAGAAUGGCUGAUACAUCCUGGAGCCCAUGUCCUGUCUCUUUGAAAGCCCUCAGUAGUGGGAGUCUUCGGGUCCUCAGGCUCAGUCUGGCAUUUGUUAUGCCCCCUUUUCCCCCAACUAGAUUAGAGGCCCCCACUGGUCCUGUAGCCCCUGAAGUCACAUCUUAUGGCACCUGCUAUAUACAACUGUGCCCCUUAAGGUGAAACUAAAUUGUCUCAUUUACCCUUAGUCAUGGAAGCUACUUCUGGGAGUGAAAGGCUUUCCACUCCAGCACUACUGGGGGCUUUGUUUGGGGAGUUAAGGUGAGAGAGGAGUUUGAUACUGACAGCAACUAUUCCACAGAAAGAUGGGAUUGAUGUGGUGGGGCACUGGUAAUCAGCUGUGGGAGGUGGGCAGGACAGGUGGGGCAUGUGGUAACCAUGGGUGGAGAGUGGGAGCCAAUGUGCUUGGGCUCAGUGAUGGAGUACACCUCCCUGUUGGUCUUUUUUUCUCUGAGAAGGAAGAGCAGCUGAUCAUCCAUGAAAUAUGGGAGGUGGAGACAGAGGACUGAAGUGAGUGCUGACCACAUAGCAGCAGGCUGGAUAGUGUGUGGGGACCAUAUGUCAUCUGUGGGUCACUCUGCCCUGGAUGAUAGUGGGUGUGGACCUUGAGUGUAUAGAUGGUCAGGACUGUAUAUGUUUUUUUGUUUUGAGAGCGGGGGAAGAAUUGGGGAUUUAACCCGGGAGGCUUUACCACUGAGCUGUAUCUCCCAACCCUUUUUUUUAAGUAUUUUUUUUUAAAAGAGAGAGAGAAUUUUUUUUUUAAUAUUUAUUUUUUAGUUUUUGGCGGAC